UUAAAACACCGGUACGAUCUCAGAAGUUAAGCAUCUUUGAGUGUGGUCAGUACCUAGGUGGGUGACUGUAUGGGAAUACCAGGUGCUGUAAG